CAGACAAAUGCCUUCGAUUUCAUCUCGUGUCGCUCAUUUUCUGGUUUUUUUUGAUUUUCCUCUCAAUCAAGUGUCAGUUGACUGACCGUGUUCCUUAUUAAGAUCUAUCUCCGGAUAUUUCCCCCUAAGCUUUUCCUGCUUUCAGUAUUUUCCCUGGUGUUUGCAUAGCGGAUGGAGUCUGAAGAGCUCCACAAGCGCAUGAAGGCGCUCCAUCAGGGAGAGAAACAAAACGAUACCUACAAGGUACAUAUAUAAAUCUCUCUCUCUCUCUCUCUCUUUUUUUUUUUUUUUUUAAAAAAGGGGGGGGAACAAACCAGGCCUCUUAUCUCACUCACACCUUUAUAUUUCUGUUUCUACCCCACAGCCCCAUACAAAUGUACAUGUACUAUCAAACCUCAAUAUAUAUACAUAUCUGAAACAACAUAAAGACAACAAAAAUAAAAUCACCAAAAACUAACCCCAUUACCCCCCUCCGUACCCCUCCCCCAAACCACACAGGGCUACAACCACGACCUCUUCCGCAACCGCGUCCGCUACGAGUCCGUAUCCCACGGCCCGUGCCCGCGCGCCUCCUUCCUCCUUACCGUCACAGAACCCUUCUGCAACAAGGUCGGCGCGCUCCACGGCGGCUGUGCCACCACCUUAAUUGAUGUGACCUCGACCGGGCUGCUGAUCGCGCUCUCCAAACCGGGCCAUUUCUCCCUGGGAGGCGUCACGCGAACGCUAAAUGUGAAGUUCGUGCGGCCGGCGCCGAUGGGGGUGGAGGUGAGGAUUGUGAAUGAGCUGGUGCAUGCGGGGAAGCGGCUGGCGUUGGUUAGGUCGGAGAUUAGCAGGGUGGAUACUGGGGAGGUUUGUGUUAUUGGGGAACAUGAUAAGGUUAAUACGGAUCCGGAGGCGGGGAGUUUAUGAGUGGAUUGUUCGGUAGUGAGAGAGAGACGGGAAUGGGAUGUAAUCUUAAGUCAAUCGUUUUCGUGUGCAUGAAGGUGCGGCCCUUGCUUCAAGUAAUUGUGGACUUCAUGCAUGGUUAGCAAAUUUUUUUCCAGUCAAUAAUGAAUAACGAAAAGGGGAAAAAAAAAAAUUGAUAAAGUAAGAUGGCUGCCUCUAUACCCAUCUCAUACCUGGCGCA
rnacentral:sRNA from 1 species